GACGUAGGAGGCGAGCGUUAUCCGGAUUCACUGGGCGUAAAGCGCAUGUAGGCGGCUGUCUAAGUCGUGUGUUAAAGCCCCUGGCUCAACUGGGGAGGGUCACGCGAUACUGAUCGACUCGAAGGCAGGAGAGGGUAGUGGAAUUCCCGGUGUAGUGGUGAAAUGCGUAGAUAUCAGGAGGAACACCAAUGGCGAAGGCAGCUCGCUGGGACGGUACUGACGCUGAGACGCGAAAGCGUGGGGAGCAAACAGG
rnacentral:rRNA from 1 species